GUGUGUGUGUGUGUGUGUGUGUGUGUGUGUGUGUGUGUGUGUGUGUGUAAAAUAAACGUAAAAGGUUUCUUGGUUUUGCUCAGUUUUCCUCACAUGUACAUAUAAGCGAUGCUUCUCUAAACGUUCCUGUGGUUUUGUGUGUGACUUGAACUUGUUUCCUCUGCUGUCUCUUUGCUGUUGUUGAGCCUGAUCUCUGAUCUAAAGCCGUCCAAACAAAGCCCCGGCUGCUCCUCUAUUGACCAGCAUCAGUGAAAGGACCAGAAUAAAGGCUGCCCCACAACCCCCGUGACCUCUGACCUCUCCCACCGGCCUCUGGACAGACGGCAGGUUCAUGGCUGAACAAACGUCCCGCAGCAGAGGUCACCCGGGGUCAGCGGGACAAAAGACGCCAGCUACAGCCUUUAACAGAUUCCUGGGAGUAAGUGACGGGAAACAAUCCCCCGGCAGCGGAUCAGGCCGGACCCGGCGUCUUCACGACUUCUAUUAUACUCCCAGCCCGAACAACGCUCAUCUCCAUCUCAAAGCGCGUGUGGCCUUUUUUAACAUUUCUACCUAGAUUUAAAAAGUGGUCACCUGUGACGGUGAGCCGGGCUCUUCGGCUCAGGACGGCCCCGUAUCUGUUGUGAGCGAGGCACCGGUAGAAGCCCCGGUCCGCCGGAGCCGAGCUGGAGAUGAAGAGAGAGCCGUUGGACAGGACCCGCAG